ACACUGGAGGGUUCCUGUGCUCAGCAUGUUUAAAAAUGAAGUUUGCAGAAGAUGAAAAGACCUGCUGGCUGGUCUGCCUGAGUCCAGCUCUGCAGGAGGAGUAAGGCUCUGGAGAGCUCAAAAAUGGGGAGGCUUCUCCCCUGCUGAUCCCAUCUGCAGACUGGAGAGAUCUGAACAGGUGCCAGACUCUUCUCCCUGUCUAUGCUCUGAUGCUGAAAUUUUGGAAAAGUAAAUAACAGUUUUUACUGCUCCUGCCCUAGAAGAGGAGGCAUGUUGCAAGUGCUUGUAGCAGGAAGCGCUGGGAUUCUGCCCAAGUCUCCGGUGAAGAUCCUGGUGCUCUUUUCAAGACCCACAAUCUGAAUUCCACCUUGCUCACAGGAAAACUUGGCCAUGGCAACAAAGAAGAUUUUGCUGAUGGAAGAGUGUAAAGGAAAUCCUCUGGGUCUGACAUUCUGGGAAUGUAUAAGGGUUGUUUUCUGAAAUGUACAGCCUGUUUUGUUUUGAGAACAAUUAAAUGAAAGAUCCUUGUGUUCUACUGAAA